rnacentral:rRNA from 1 species
AAACUAACAAGGAUUCCCCUAGUAGCGGCGAGCGAAGCGGGAAGAGCUCAAAUUUAUAAUCUGGCACCUUCGGUGUCCGAGUUGUAAUCUCUAGAAGUGUUUUCCGCGUUGGACCGCACACAAGUCUGUUGGAAUACAGCGGCAUAGUGGUGAAACCCCCGUAUAUGGUGCGGACGCCCAGCGCUUUGUGAUACACUUUCAAUGAGUCGAGUUGUUUGGGAAUGCAGCUCAAAUUGGGUGGUAAAUUCCAUCUAAAGCUAAAUAUUGGCGAGAGACCGAUAGCGAACAAGUACCGUGAGGGAAAGAUGAAAAGCACUUUGGAAAGAGAGUUAACAGUACGUGAAAUUGUUGGAAGGGAAACGCUUGAAGUCAGACUUGCUUGCCGGAGCUUGCUUCGGUUUGCAGGCCAGCAUCAGUUUUCCGGGGUGGAUAAUGACGGUUUGAAGGUAGCAGUCUCGGCUGUGUUAUAGCUUUCCGUUGGAUACAUCCUGGGGGACUGAGGAACGCAGCGUGCUUUUUGCGAAAGACUCGUCUUUUC